rnacentral:rRNA from 1 species
GACGAACGCUGGCGGCGUGCUUAACACAUGCAAGUCGAACGGAAAGGCCCUGCUUUUGUGGGGUGCUCGAGUGGCGAACGGGUGAGUAACACGUGAGUAACCUGCCCUUGACUUUGGGAUAACUUCAGGAAACUGGGGCUAAUACCGGAUAGGAGCUCCUGCUGCAUGGUGGGGGUUGGAAAGUUUCGGCGGUUGGGGAUGGACUCGCGGCUUAUCAGCUUGUUGGUGGGGUAGUGGCUUACCAAGCCUUUGACGGGUAGCCGGCCUGAGAGGGUGACCGGCCACAUUGGGACUAAGAUACGGCCCAGACUCCUACGGGAGGCAGCAGUGGGGAAUAUUGCACAAUGGGCGGGAGCCUGAUGCAGCAACGCCGCGUGCGGGAUGACGGCCUUCGGGUUGUAAACCGCUUUCGCCUGUGACGAAGCGUGAGUGACGGUAAUGGGUAAAGAAGCACCGGCUAACUACGUG